rnacentral:tRNA from 2 species
AGAGGUUUAGGUUAACCUAAGACCAAGGGCCUUCAAAGCCCUAAGCGAGAGUGAAAACCUCCCAACCCCUG